rnacentral:rRNA from 1 species
UACAGAGGGUGCAAGCGUUGUUCGGAAUCAUUGGGCGUAAAGGGCGUGUAGGCGGUCUGUUAAGUCAUGUGUGAAAUCCCUCGGCUCAACCGGGGAACGACGCAUGAAACUGACAGCUAGAGUACCAAAGAGGGGGUGGAAUUCCCGGUGUAGCGGUGGAAAUGCGUAGAUAUCGGGAGGAACACCGGUGGCGAAGGCGACCCCCUGGUUGGAUACUGACGCUGAG